rnacentral:rRNA from 1 species
GAAGCGGCAACAGCUCAAAUUUGAAAUCUGGCGCAAGCCCGAGUUGUAAUUUGUAGAGGAUGCUUCUGGGCAGCGGCCGUUCUAAGUUCCUUGGAACAGGACGUCAUAGAGGGUGAGAAUCCCGUAUGUGACCGGCGCGCACCCUCCACGUAGCUCCUUCGACGAGUCGAGUUGUUUGGGAAUGCAGCUCUAAAUGGGAGGUAAAUUUCUUCUAAAGCUAAAUACCGGCCAGAGACCGAUAGCGCACAAGUAGAGUGAUCGAAAGAUGAAAAGCACUUUGGAAAGAGAGUUAAAAAGCACGUGAAAUUGUUGAAAGGGAAGCGCUUGCAACCAGACUCCGCGGCGGUGUUCCGCCGGUCUUCUGACCGGUCCACUCGCCGCCGCGGGGCCAACAUCGUCUGGGGCCGCCGGAUAAGACCGCGAGAAUGUGGCUCCCCUCGGGAGUGUUAUAGCUCGCGGUGAUGCGGCGCGCCUCGGGCGAGGUCCGCGCUUCGGCAAGGAUGUUGGCGUAAUGGUUGCCAGCGGCCCGUCUUGAAACACGGACCAAGGAGUCUAACAUCUAUGCGAGUGUUCGGGUGUCAAACCCCUACGCGUAAUGAAAGUGAACGGAGGUGGGAGCUUCGGCGCACCAUCGACCGAUCCUGAUGUCCUCGGAUGGAUUUGAGUAAGAGCAUAGCUGUUGGGACCCGAAAGAUGGUGAACUAUGCCUGAAUAGGGUGAAGCCAGAGGAAACUCUGGUGGAGGCUCGCAGCGGUUCUGACGUGCAAAUCGAUCGUCAAAUUUGGGUAUAGGGGCGAAAGACUAAUC